UUCUCUUGGAACUGAGGAUCCGAGAGCUGCUCUCCAUCCCCUCUUCCAAAGCACUGUGGAAAUGGCUUCGUAACGCACCCAGGUAAUCAAAGAGCGCCAGGGAGAUGGCACUCAUGAAGAGAGGAACAUUUCUAACAGCAGAGGAGCCUUGGGAACCAUUGUCCUAAAGGAAAUCCCUUCCCUCAGGUUCCCUUAGAAGCCCAGUUCAAAGAAAGCCUGGGCGGCAGCUUACAAUCUGAAAAGGAAAAGUCAGGCCUGUAGAGCCUGAGACACAAGGAAUCCCAGGAGCCUGGUUCUGAAGCAAUUACCCCUGUGCUGGCCUGUGCCUGAGAGGAGGCUGCUUUUCUUGAUUUCUGAGGCAUCUGGCCAACAGAAAUGAGGUGGCUGAGGUGAUUAUGACAUUGAUUAUUACAAAUGCCAUCGAUGUAUAAAUAAUUUGAGUAUGGACUCUCCACCCACUGGGAACUACACCUCAGUGCUUUGGAGGCAUGAAUGAACUGCUCUUCUCACCAAACUGAGGGGUAGAAACUGAGGCACAGAGAAGCUAUGUAACUUGGCUUAAGUUCAGAGCUGAUGCAUACAACUCAUCAGUUGCAGAGCUUGGAGCCUUGCAGUUUCACCUCAGGAGGGGGAGAGAGAUCUUGUUCUGCUCUUGAUUUCACUUCUCCAUUCAACCUCUUAUCAAAACCACAGGUAAUUAGUUAUCUAAUUGCUCAUGCUUACAGAGGACCUAA